UACAGUUAUACUGAAAGUUGGAAAAAUGAAGUUUCAAUUUCAUUUGCACCAAAUAUAAUAGAUUAAUUAGGAGAGAAUAGAUGUCUUUAAAAUUAAACCUUCCUGUACAACUGCAAGCUUCUGCAGUCUUCAGUAGCUGCCAUUCCUCCUUGAAAUUUUAUAAGCUCUGUACUCUCCCAGGUGAUGAUUCUGUGGACAAGAGGAAAAUGUACAUCUUCAGUGAUUUCAUGCAUAGGAUCACCUGCAUGCUAACAUUAUUUCUCAUAUUUGGAAUUUUACUCUGUUUCUGUAUCUGUACUUUUAUAGAAAUAUGCGUACAAAUUAAAGUGAACUGCUCUUUGGCAA